GGGGAAUUAGCUCAGCUGGGAGAGCACCUGCCUUGCACGCAGGGGUCAAGGGUUCGAUCCCCUUAUUCUCCACCA
rnacentral:tRNA from 1 species